rnacentral:lncRNA from 1 species
AAUCACAGGGAUCUCCAUGGCCUGUUUAACGAUGGCGCCCCGCCAUCGUUCAAAUGUCAUGCGCCAUCGUCAAAUGACUCGCGCCAUCGUUAAAUUGUCUUGCGCCAUCGUAAAAUGACUUCCGCCAUCGUUCAAAACUUCAUCUUUUUUUGUAGCCCGACGCCAUUUUUUUUUAUCAAGUAUAAUCAAAUGCAUGUAAUUGCAUAACCCUUAGGCUUUUAAUGUUAUAAUCCAAUACAGUUCUAACGCCUGAGGAGUAUACGGAUUAAGAUCGCUAAUCACUUGUACCUGAGCUUGUACAGGUAGAUCAACAAACCAGACACGAGAAUACUAUCAGAGGAUAGACGAUUCAUUUGUCGAAAUAAUCAACUAAGUUUUAGCAAAUGAUUAUGAUAAUUUAGAUUAAAUAAAUAAAUUAAUAAUCCAGUUACAAAGAAAACAGUUUAACAAGUGGAACACGUGCUUUGUUUUGACUUACGCAAUCAGCAUCCCCCUUUUUUAAGAAGUACAAAAUAAGACGCAAAACAGUAAAUAUUAUUUCAUCGCAAAUAACUCGAUUACUGCUGUAACGAUAAUUUAGAAUUACUUUAAAAGUUUAAAAGGAAAAACUUUAAAUAUUUCCUGUAAAGAAAUAUCGUAUCGUAAUUCCGAAUUCAUUUCGUAUAUUACAAUCAAAUUGAUACAUCCGCGUUUCCGGUUUCUAUUCAGACUCGAAAGAUACAUGUUGCACAGCAUCAAUUUGCCAGAUAAAGUCAUUAAAAACCUUUUCAUUUGUCAACGUUUGCUUUACAAAUCUCUUUAACCUUUUACAUAACCCGUACGAAUUGUUUUGUUGUUGCUGCAAAUCACCCAUACCGGUAAUGGGUUCUGAAUUUGACAGUGUCCAUGAAAAAUUAGCUCCACAUCAUUUGAUUUUUAACCCCUAUAACAAUAACCAAAUAUACAAGAAAUCUACAUGGGGACCUUCAUGACAGCUUUUGGUCAUUCUCGACUAAGGGGGGACCAUGAAGACUUGGCAUUUGAAUGGUUUAAAAACGGCAAUAAAUGAAAAUAUUGAUACUUCUAAUUCUAUAAGGAAAAUUCAAAUAAAUAUAAUUUAAAUAAGCAAUGAAUUAGCAUGUACACC